CUAGUUCCCACAUCAAAUUCUCACACUUACGAGAAAAUAAUAAAAAUAGAAAUAACAUUUAUUUCUUAACUCUAAUUACUUCUAGUAUCAUUAAAUGUCUAUACAAGAAUUAACAAUAAAUUAACAAUAAAUUAUAAUCGAAAAAUAGCGCUCGUUAAACUUCGUAAACAAAUACCGCAUUGCAUUCUGGGAGUCGGCCAUUACUAAAAGAAUCAACAACAUGUGGUCCUAACAAUAAAGCAAAAAUACGUAUAAAUAGUGGAUUACAGAAACAACAGAUUACAAGAGACUCAUAUCAAGAAGAAACAGGAAUACACAAACAGAGGGAGAAAAGAUGCUGCAAAGGAGAGGAAUGGCUAUUGGCGUGAGAAGGACUCCUAGGUCGUGGUCGUUGGCGCGCUGGCUGGUAUACGACCGACUUCACAGCUGGUGGGGGAGGGGACUUCCUUCUACGCACAGUCUG